rnacentral:rRNA from 1 species
AGUGAACGCUGGCGGUAGGCCUAACACAUGCAAGUCGAACGGCAGCACAGGAGAGCUUGCUCUCUGGGUGGCGAGUGGCGGACGGGUGAGGAAUACAUCGGAAUCUACUCUGUCGUGAGGGAUAACGUAGGGAAACUUACGCUAAUACCGCAUACGACCUACGGGUGAAAGCAGGGGACCUUCGGGCCUUGCGCGAUUGAAUGAGCCGAUGUCGGAUUAGCUAGUUGGCGGGGUAAAGGCCCACCAAGGCGACGAUCCGUAGCUGGUCUGGGAGGAUGCUCAGCCACACUGGAACUGAGACACGGUCCAGACUCCUACGGGAGGCAGCAGUGGGGAAUAUUGGACAAUGGGCGCAAGCCUGAUCCAGCCAUACCGCGUGGGUGAAGAAGGCCUUCGGGUUGUAAAGCCCUUUUGUUGGGAAAGAAAUCCAGCUGGCUAAUACCCGGUUGGGAUGACGGUACCCAAAGAAUAAGCACCGGCUAACCUCGUGCCAGCCGCCGCGGUAA